AAACAUUUAAAUUUUACACCACUGAUUCACUUGGCAAAAGCACACGUUCAUGUGAUUUCAUGAUUUCCAACCUUUAGAACAUAACCUAUAUAUCACGAUUCAACCACAGCAAAAACAUAAAAGGCUUAAUACCGCUAUUGGUCCCUAGUUUGGGAGGGUUUAUUCAAUAUGGUCCUACCUUUUUUUUUCAUAAAAAUUGAUCCCACUUUUUGAAAAAACUGUUCAAUUGAGUCCUUUUUGUUCAUAGUGGUCCCAUAUUGAAGUUUAAAUUGUUUAUUAUAGUUCUUAUUGUAUACGAUGAUGACAUGAUUUUUAACAUAACAUUAUGUCAGGACUGUUAAAAUAACAUUUGGAUAGGUGAAUGCAUGAAAGAACUUAUUGACAUCGUAACUAGAACCGUUAGAAAAUUGACGUCGUAACCAAAAAAGAGUCAAUUGAACAGUUUUUUCAAAAAGUGGGAUCAAUUGUUACUAAAAAAAAAGGUAGAACCAUAUUGAACAAAACCUCCCAAACUAGGGACCAAAAGCGGUAUUAAGCCAACAUAAAAUAAAAGUAAAACUAAUAUACAGAAACUAUAGGCAGCAACAUGAAGUAGUUAAAGCUAUGUCCAGAAAACCAAUCUCUCUUACGGGUGCUUCACGGGUGCUUCACGAUUACAACCG
rnacentral:lncRNA from 1 species